rnacentral:rRNA from 1 species
AUCCUGGCUCAGAUUGAACGCUGGCGGCAUGCUUUACACAUGCAAGUCGAACGGUAGAGGGGGCAACCCCUCGAGAGUGGCGAACGGGUGAGUAAUAUAUCGGAACGUGCCCAGUCGUGGGGAUAACGUAGCGAAAGUUACGCUAAUACCGCAUACGCACCGAGGUGGAAAGCAGGGGAUCGCAAGACCUUGCGCUAUACGAGCGGCCGAUGUCAGAUUAGCUAGUUGGUAGGGUAAAGGCCUACCAAGGCGACGAUCUGUAGCGGGUCUGAGAGGACGAUCAGCCACACUGGGACUGAGACACGGCCCAGACUCCUACGGGAGGCAGCAGUGGGGAAUCUUGCACAAUGGGCGCAAGCCUGAUGCAGCGACGCCGCGUGAAUGAUGAAGGCUUUCGGGCUGUAAGGUUCAGUAAGCAGGGAAGAAUAAGCGCCGGGUAAUAUUCGGUGUGAUGACGGUACCUGCCUAAAGCCCCGGCUAACUACGUG